rnacentral:rRNA from 1 species
GACGAACGCUGGCGGCGUGCUUAACACAUGCAAGUCGAACGGAAAGGCCCUGCUUUUGUGGGGUGCUCGAGUGGCGAACGGGUGAGUAACACGUGAGUAACCUGCCCUUGACUUUGGGAUAACUUCAGGAAACUGGGGCUAAUACCGGAUAGGAGCUCCUGCCGCAUGGUGGGGGUUGGAAAGUUUCGGCGGUUGGGGAUGGACUCGCGGCUUAUCAGCUUGUUGGUGGGGUAGUGGCUUACCAAGGCUUUGACGGGUAGCCGGCCUGAGAGGGUGACCGGCCACAUUGGGACUGAGAUACGGCCCAGACUCCUACGGGAGGCAGCAGUGGGGAAUAUUGCACAAUGGGCGGAAGCCUGAGGCAGCAACGCCGCGUGCGGGAUGACGGCCUUCGGGUUGUAAACCGCUUUCGCCUGUGACGAAGCGUGAGUGACGGUAAUGGGUAAAGAAGCACCGGCUAACUACGUG